UAUUAAGGGCUCCCCGGUCCCUGUAAAAGGUUAGUGUGACCUGGCACCCCCACUGUGAGAGGUCAUUGUGACCUGGCACCGGGGACUUCUGAAUACAGACCUUGUCUUCCUGCUGGGUCUCAAGGAGCUACUGUCCCUGCUGGGAUCAGGCCUUGGUGGCUAAGAAGGUACUCAGGGUGGAGGUGGGACUACCCAGCACCUUGGGGAGAUGGUGUAUCUGCUAUCCCAGUUGACUCUGCC
rnacentral:lncRNA from 1 species